rnacentral:rRNA from 1 species
CGGGACGGGGGAGUAAUGCUUGGGAAUCUAGCUUAUGAGGGGGAGUAACUACGGGAAACUGUAGCUAAUACCGCGUAAUAUCGAAAGAUUAAAGUGUGGGACCUUCGGGCCACAUGCCAUAGGAUGAGCCCAAGUGGGAUUAGGUAGUUGGUGAGGUAAAGGCUCACCAAGCCGACGAUCUCUAGCUGGUCUGAGAGGAUGACCAGCCACACUGGGACUGAGACACGGCCCAG